rnacentral:rRNA from 1 species
AUGAACGCUGGCGGCGUGCCUAAUACAUGCAAGUCGAGCGAACAGACGAGGAGCUUGCUCCUCUGACGUUAGCGGCGGACGGGUGAGUAACACGUGGAUAACCUACCUAUAAGACUGGGAUAACUUCGGGAAACCGGAGCUAAUACCGGAUAAUAUAUUGAACCGCAUGGUUCAAUAGUGAAAGACGGUUUUGCUGUCACUUAUAGAUGGAUCCGCGCCGCAUUAGCUAGUUGGUAAGGUAACGGCUUACCAAGGCAACGAUGCGUAGCCGACCUGAGAGGGUGAUCGGCCACACUGGAACUGAGACACGGUCCAGACUCCUACGGGAGGCAGCAGUAGGGAAUCUUCCGCAAUGGGCGAAAGCCUGACGGAGCAACGCCGCGUGAGUGAGGAAGGUCUUCGGAUCGUAAAACUCUGUUAUUAGGGAAGAACAAAUGUGUAAGUAACUAUGCACGUCUUGACGGUACCUAAUCAGAAAGCCACGGCUAACUACGU